rnacentral:rRNA from 1 species
CUGGUCCUACGGGAGGCAGCAGUCGAGAAUCAUUCACAAUGGGGGAAACCCUGAUGUUGCGACGCCGCGUGGGGGAAUGAAGGUCUUCGGAUUGUAAACCCCUGUCAUGUGGGAGCAAAUUAAAAAAAUAGUACCACAAGAGGAAGAGACGGCUAACUCUGUGCCAGCAGCCGCGGUAAUACAGAGGUCUCAAGCGUUGUUCGGAAUCACUGGGCGUAAAGCGUGCGUAGGCUGUUUCGUAAGUCGUGUGUGAAAGGCGCGGGCGCAACCCGCGGACGGCACAUG